AGACCCGAAACCCGGUGAUCUAGCCAUGGGCAGGUUGAAGGUUGGGUAACACUAACUGGAGGACCGAACCGACUAAUGUUGAAAAAUUAGCGGAUGACCUGUGGCUGGGGGUGAAAGGCCAAUCAAACCGGGAGAUAGCUGGUUCUCCCCGAAAGCUAUUUAGGUAGCGCCUCGUGAAUUCAUCUCCGGGGGUAGAGCACUGUUUCGGCUAGGGGGCCAUCCCGGCUUACCAACCCGAUGCAAACUGCGAAUACCGGAGAAUGUUAUCACGGGAGACACACGGCGGGUGCUAACGUCCGUCGUGAAGAGGGAAACAACCCAGACCGCCAGCUAAGGUCCCAAAGUCAUGGUUAAGUGGGAAACGAUGUGGGAAGGCCCAGACAGCCAGGAUGUUGGCUUAGAAGCAGCCAUCAUUUAAAGAAAGCGUAAUAGCUCACUGGUCGAGUCGGCCUGCGCGGAAGAUGUAACGGGGCUAAACCAUGCACCGAAGCUGCGGCAGCGACGCUUAUGCGUUGUUGGGUAGGGGAGCGUUCUGUAAGCCUGUGAAGGUGGCCUGUGAGGGUUGCUGGAGGUAUCAGAAGUGCGAAUGCUGACAUA
rnacentral:rRNA from 2 species